CAAUAUUUGUGAUUAAAAAUAGAAAUAAGAAAUGUGCAAGUUAAUAAUUAUUAGUUUCGGGCGAAUCGUUUGGUUGUUUUAUUUUCGGCCUAAAUACAGUCGGUUGAAAUAUUUUCGGCUAAAUACGGCUUGGUUGUUUUAUAGCCCCCCAUUUUGCAUAACCAUUCGAGUGUUUUUUUUUUAGAGAAAAAAAUUGUUUACCAAUGUAUUAUUUGUAUUUAUUAUAUGUAUAUGUAUAGACUAUUAUCUAUUGGUAUA